rnacentral:rRNA from 1 species
UUUAACUUGAGAGUUUGAUCCUGGCUCAGAAUCAACGCUGGCGGCGUGCCUAACACAUGCAAGUCGUACGCGAAAGCGGCCUUCGGGCCGUAAGUAGAGUGGCAAACGGGUGAGUAUCGCGUGGGUGACCUGCCUUCGAGUGGGGGAUAACCUUCCGAAAGGGGGGCUAAUACCGCAUAACAUCCCACCCUUGGAUGGGUGGUGAUCAAAGCCGGGGAUCGCAAGACCUGGCGCUUGUAGAGGGACCCGCGUCCGAUUAGCUUGUUGGUGGGGUAACGGCCUACCAAGGCGACGAUCGGUAGCCGGCCUGAGAGGGCGGACGGCCACACUGGGACUGAGACACGGCCCAGACUCCUACGGGAGGCAGCAGUGGGGAAUUGUUCGCAAUGGGCG